UGGGGAAUUUUGGACAAUGGGGGCAGCCCUGAUCCAGCCAUGCCGCGUGCGGGAAGAAGGCCUUCGGGUUGUAAACCGCUUUUAGCCGGGACGAAAGCUGUACGGAUAACACCCGUGCAGGUUGACGGUACCGGCGGAAUAAGCACCGGAUAACUCUGUGCCAGCAGCCGCGGUAAUACAGAGGGCGCGAGCGUUGUCCGGAAUCACUGGGCGUAAAGGGCGCGUAGGUGGCGGCGCAAGCGGGCGGUGAAAGCCCGGGGCUCAACCCCGGGUCGGCCGUGCGAACUGCGUCGCUCGAGCGUGGUAGAGGCGGGUGGAAUUCCGGGUGUAGCGGUGGAAUGCGUAGAGAUCCGGAAGAACACCGGUGGCGAAGGCGGCCCGCUGGGCCACGGCUGACACUGAGGCGCGACAGCGUGGGGAGCAAAC
rnacentral:rRNA from 1 species